CUUGGAGUAACCAGUGGAGGUGAGUCCCUGCUAAGACUAGAGCUCCGCUACACACACUGUGUUUUUUUCUACUCUCAAUAUUUCUGCUUUACAGUAAACAUUCCUCAUACCGAUAUUUUUCUACACAAUAUGUUGGUCUGUUCGUGCUAUUUCACCAAUUCGCAGAGAUCUUUUCCAGAGACCUGGCAGACAGCAGUCAAUGGAUAUUUAGACUCGAAGAAUGAUUUGUGCUGACGGAAUGCUGCUUUAUUUUAUAUGCUUGCGAGCGCUUAUAAUAGUGCUUUUUAUUUUGUUGGAAUUUGGCAGUCUACACUUUUCCCAUAGCUACAGGCAUUUUCUUGUAAUUGAAGAGGAUUGCCACAAGGAAGAUUUUCUUCACAUGGUGCUAUGCUUUAUGUUUUAAAGUGUGUUUCGUGUGGAUUAUUUCCUAUACUUUCAGGAUACAAAGCUAUGUGUCUAUAGUUUAUAAUUCACAGAUUCUGUUAAAAUCCUGCUUCUUUGUAUAUCGUUAUGAAAUAAAUGUAAAGAAACCAUAAAAGCAGUGACACAGCUAUACAAAUGUCCAGACUGCAAUCAAAAUAAAUAAAUAAACCCAGGUUUAAAAAGUGAAGUAUGAACUUACAACAAUAAAAAGAGGCUCGAAAUUUGUAGAACUUCCCAAAAGCAUUGCUGGCUCUGGAUAGCAAUUUCUUGAAUUGUGAUUGGCUGGCUUUAUAACAAGAAUUUUACAAUGUACAGUGAGGGGGAAAAGUAUGUGAUCCCCUGCUGAUUUUGAACCUUUGUCCACUGAGAAAGAAAUGAUUGUCUAUAAUUUUAAUGGUAGGUGUAUUUUAACAGUGAGAGACAGAAUAACAAAACAAAAAAAAUCCAGAAAAACACGUCAAAAAAGUUAUAAAUUGAUUUGCAUGUCAAUGGGGGAAAUAAGUAUUUGAUCCCCUAUCAAUCAGCAAGAUUUUUGGCUCCCAAGUGUCUUUUAUACAGGUAAUGAGCUGAGAUUAGGAGCACUCUCUUAAAAGCAGUACUCCUAAUCUCAGCUCGUUACCUAUAUAAAAGACACCUGUCCAUAGAAGCAAUCAAUCAGAUUCUAAACUCUUCACCAUGGCCAAGACCAAAGAGCUGUCCAAGGAUGUCAGAUACAGAAUUGUAGACUUACACAAGGCUGGAAUGGGCUACAGACCAUCGCCAAGCAGCUUGGUGAGAAGGUGACAACAGUUAGUGCGAUUAUUCGCAAAUGGAAGAAACAUAAAAUAACUGUCAGUCUCUUUUGGUCUGGUGCUCUAUGCAAGAUCUCACCUUGUGGAGUUUCAAUGAUCAUGAGAACAAUGAGGAAUCAGCCCAGAACUACACUUGGAUACUUUGGCAAAAUUUUCACUGUAGUGAAAACCCAGUGUUUAUCACUAUCUAGGAUUUAGUAGAUUUAUCAGAUUAAUAUGUACAGUGAGGAAAAAAGGUAUUUGAUCCACUGCUGAUUUUUAAUGUUUGUCCACUGACAGAGAAAUGAUCAGUCUAUAAUUUUAAUGGUAGGUGUAUUUUAACAGUGAGAAUAACAAAACAAACAAACCCAGAAAAACACAUGUCAAAAAAGUUAUAAAUUGAUUUGCAUGUCAAUGGGGGAAAUAGGUAUUUGAUCCCCUAUCAAUCAGCAAAAUUUCUCCUAAUCUCAGCUUGUUACCUGUAUAAAAGACACCUAUCCACAGAAGCAAUCAAUCAGAUUCCAAACUCUCCACCAUGGCCAAGACCAAAGAGCUGUCCAAGGAUGUCAGGGACAACAUUGUAUACAGAGAAAGGAUUGGGGGCACACCCAAGACCCUGCAUUUUGCAUGAAAGGUGCUGCUGCAGUGACCAAACUUCAUACAUGAAAAAUAUUGUUGCUGCGCACUCAGACUACAAAAAAUACAACACAAAGAAGGCUUCUAAAUUGCCUAUCUAAGAAUUAAAUAUGGGGAUUUAGUUCCACCAUAUGGCCAUAUGAUGUUAAGCCCACCACUGCUUUCAAAGUACCCCAAUGUUGGUGGGUCCUAAGCUAAAAUGUGGGGGACAAAUUAAAUAGUACUAGUGUUAAAAAUAAACUGUGUUUUUUUUGUAUACUCGCUUUGCUUUUACAAGGAUUUAAUAAUACACUUUACUGGAAUGGGCUACAAGACCAUCACCAAGCAGCUUGGUGAGAAGGUGACAACAAUUGGUGCGAUUAUUCACAAGUGGAAGAAACACAAAAUAACUGUCACUCUCCCACAGCCUGGUGCUCCAUGUGAGAUCUCAUCUCGUGGAGUUUCAAUGAUCAUGAGGAUCAGCCCAGAACUACACGGGAGGAUCUUGUUAAUUAUCUCAAGACAGCUGGGACCAUAGUCACCAAGAAAACAAUUGGUAACACACUACUCCGUGAAGGACUAAAAUCCUGCAACGCCCGCAAGGUCCCCCUGCUCAAGAAAGCACAUGUACAGGACCGUCUGAAGUUUGCCAAUGAACAUCUCAAUGAUUCAGAGGAGAUCUGAAUGAAAGUGUAGUGGUCAGAUGAGACCAAAACCAAGCUCUUUGGCAUCAACUCAACUUGCUGUGUUUGGAGGAGGAGGCAUGCUGCCUACAACCCCAAGAACACCAUUCCCACCGUCAAACAUGGAGGUGGAAACAUUAUGAUUUGGGGGCCAUGUACUGUCAAAUCUUGGGUGAGAACCUCCUUCCCUCAGACAGGGCAUUGAAAAUGGGUCGUGGAUGGGUAUUCCAGCAUGUCAAUGACCCAAAACACAAAGCCAAGGCAAUAAAGGAGUGGCUCAAGAAGAAGCACAUUAAGGUUCUGGAGUGGCCUUGCCAGUCUCCAGACCUUAAUCCCAUAGAAAAUUUGUGGAGGGAGCUGAAGGUUCGAGUUGCCAAACGUCAGCCUCAAAACUUUAAUGACUUGGAGAGGAUCUGCAAAGAGAAGUGGGACAAAAUCCCUCCUGAGAUAUGUGCAAACCUGGUGGCCAACUACAAAAAACAUCUGACCUCUGUGAUUGCCAACAAGGGUUUUGCCACCAAGUUGAAUGGGUCAAAUACUUAUUUAUUAUUAGUUAUUAUGUCUCUAACUGUUAAAAUACAUCUACAAUUAAAAUUAUAGACUGUUUCCUUGUCAGUGGGCAAACAUUCAAAAUCAGCAGGAGAUCAAAUACUUUUUUCCCUCACUGUAUCCCUGGUAUCAUUGUAUAUACCAGUGACACCUCAGAGCAUAUCCCCAGGGACAUUCUCAAAGGUCUCUCACUGAGGGACAUCUCAAUACUGUGUCAUGUGUCUGAGUGUUCCCCAGAACAUUGGUACAAGGAAUCUCAUAGUACUUUGUAGUAUGUAAAGUGUAUUACAGAGCUCUAAAGCAAUGGAUCUCAUGUUUGAUGUGUGUAAUGAAUUAUAGAACCUUGGUGUAAUAGAUCUCACAGUAAUAUGUGCGUAUAAGUGUGUUACAGAGCCAUUUCUACAAGUGGGUCUUAGGAUUUUAUAGUGGAAAGGCCUCCACAUGAGGUUCACCCGAGUCAAUUUCAGGUUUGGAACGGAUCAAUUUCAAGUGUUUGCAAGUAAUAGAAGCCACUGUUUUAUUUCCUUUGAUGAAGGUCUCUUGCAUUGGACCACUGGAGAAUUACCAUGACAAUGUCUUUGUCAUACCCAAUGGGCAUGAUUUAUUGUUCAUCGUGAAAAUAUUGUCAUAUUGCCAUUCUAUGUGGCGUAUAUCCAUUGUUAAAAUAUUGUUACUUUGGGUACUGGAUGCAUGGAAUGGUUACUCAAAUAGAGUUGAUAUGACUGAUUAUGGUUAGGGUUAAUUUGUCUGUUUGAGCUUGAGAAAUAAGUCCUUCAUUAGACUUGCAGGAAAAGGAUAGCAAAUUAAGCUCUAUUUUUUUAAUUUAUUAUUAUUAUCAGAGAGAGCUUGAGGAACAACAUACCACUGGCAGUGUGGAUAGUGAGUCAAUCAAGGGUUACUUUCUUCAAGUUUUGGAAGUGAUUUUAGAUGCAAUUUUAUUUUUGUGCCAUUUUGUAUGAAAUAUAUAUCAUGUAUGGUCUCACAUUAAUUUUCCAGACUUGCAGAGAUGAUCUGACUUGGUUGAAUUGCACAUUUUCAGCCAGGUUUGGAAUGCAUUAAUUGCCCUUCAUCAAACUGGAAAUCCAGCAUCUCUCCCCUUGUUUGUAACAUAUUUUGCAUAUAUAUGCAAGGAGGCUAUAUAAGACUUAUAUAAUAAUAAAUACUUAUAUAAUAAUAUACUAUAAUAUAAUAUUGUGAUUUCAUAUAUACUUUUGCCAAAUUGUGGAGUUUUUUUGUUGUUUUUUUUUCUUUUCAUUUUUUAUUUAUUGACAGAGAGAAAAAUGCAAUCUUUUGUACAUGUAUCCAGUGAUUCCCAGAUUUGUUGGGUAACUUUACCCCUUAAGGACACAGCUUCAGAAGCUGGACAUACCCUUAAGGACACAAGCUUUUUUUGCAUUUUUUUGCUGUUUGUGUUCAACUGCAAUUUGCAUCUCUCUCAUUUGUUGCAUCAACACAUAUUAUAUAUUGUUUUUUAAAGGACAAAAUGGGCUUUAAUUUGAUGUGACAUAUACAUAUAUAAAAUCUAAUUUAUUAUUUAAAAAAAAUAUUAAAAUAAAUGUAACAUUUUUAUUUUUUUCACUUUUUUGGCAAUUUUGUGUGUGCAUAAUAUGUCCAGCCUAGGUAAAGUAAUUCAAAAUAAAUUCAUUUAUGUGUCUUGAUUUACAAAGUGCAUAAUAUGUAUAGGAUUUCAGCUUAUUUUGAAAGCUACAGGUCACAAAAUACAAGGAGUAAUAUAACAUUUAAUGUGAAACAAUUUUAUAAGUUGGUAUGUUUGACUUGUAAGUUUAAUAACCACCACAGAAAACACAAUUGCAACACAAAAGUAUAUAUUUAUAUAAAGCAGACAUCACAGGCUAUUUAUCCAAGGGUAUUUUGACUCUUUUUUUGUAGCCAUUUCACCACCAAUAUCUGCUAAAUAUUGUAGUAAAAUUGACAUACACACAUAAAACAAGGUUUUUUUAAUGUGUAUUUUGUAAAGCUGCUGUGUGCUGUUCAAAAUCCCAUAUUGUGUUCAGCUACAUCUGUUGAGUACAACAAUACCCCAUUGUAUGCCUUUGCCACUAUUUUGGGAAGCUACAAUGACAUAUAAGGGGCCAGACUAUUUCAGUUUCUACAGUUAGAAAAGUCAAAGAUGGAUUUGAUGGACCUAUGUCUUAUUUUGGGUCAUUAUAAUAUUUUAGUUGUUCAAAUGACCACGCAAAGGCCUUCCAUUCGUGAAAGUAGACACUCCAGGGUAUCUCAUAUGGCAUAUAUUGUGCUUUGACAUGUUGCCAUUUUUUCACCAUUAUAUGUCAAAGUUUGUGGUAAAAAAAUAUUGUUCGCAUUUUCUACUUAAGCAUUACAUUUGUGCUAGACAUUAUGUAUAUUUGAUAUGUUCCACUAUGAUCAAACACCCCAAAUUAUGCUCAGCUAACUCUUCUGAGUAAACCAAUACCCCCAAUGUAUGCCUUUGGCACUAUUUUGUGAUGCUACAGUGCCAUAUAGGAGACCUGACCAUUUCAGUUUUUAGAGUAGAAUUUUGAGAGACGGAUGUGAUAGGUUUAUGUCUCAUUUUGGGGUCUAAUAGUAGGUUGCUUAUUCAAACUUCCCCCACAAAAGCCUACCAUUUUUAAAGAAGACACUCCAGGGUAUUUCAAAAGGCCUGUUUUGAACCUUAGCGUGAGAUCAUUUUUUUUUUGCUACUUAUUACCAAGUCUAGUAGUAGUAAGCAUUUUCUCUGCCUUUUUGACACACACUUUGAGAAUUUUUGUUAUACUUUUUUCACUUUUUACAAACUUUCUAAAACUUUGCACACGAUCCAUCUCUCUCCACUUCACCACACACACAGAGGUGAAGGGUGGCGGAUCAGAAGUCUCAGCAGCACUGUGAUCGCUGUCACAUGUGCUGGGACAGCGCUCUUGGCUGUUGCUGGUCUUCCUCGAACGCUGAUGCACCCAGCAACAGCGUUAACCCCACAAUCACCACAAAAUUUUCCGUCAAGCAUUCUUAAGGGUAGGUCUUGCCUUGAUGGAAAAGUUCAGUCAAACGUCGUUAAGGGGUUAAGAUGCCCCAUUUUUAAAUUGUCCUGUUGGUGGCAGCUUUGAUACUAGCAUGAGUGUGGGUGGUGUUAAAGAGGGAUUUUGAGCACUAUUUAGGGUCUAGUGCAGACAAAUAGUGCUUUUUAACCCUUUCACCCACUGAAGAAAGUCACGUGCCCACCUCGAUGUGGAGGUGGUGUACAAAUUUCCACCAAAGAUGAUAUUAAAUAUGGACAGUCCCCCCAGAUAUUUAAUAUAGUACUGACAAUAUUACACCCCUCAAAAUAUUUUGAGCUUUAUUUUAGGUCUAGUGCAGACAAAUAAUGAUUUUUAACCCUUUCAUCCACUGAAGCAAGUCCCAUGUCCACCUUGGAGUGGUGGUAUACAAAUUCCUGCCAAAGAUGGUUUUAAAUUUGGACAGUCCCCCAAAAUAUGUUAUAUAGUACUGACAAUAUCACACCCCCAAAAAUAAAAGAUCUUUGUAUCUUUGAGAGAGUUCUGAUGAGAUUAGGUACCACUAACAACACACUAUUAUUUCUUAAACUAAUUCAAUCUGAUUAGUGCAAUGUGAACCCUGCAAAUUGAUGUUUAUAGCUUUUCCCGUAGCUCAUUUUGGAAGACAGACUGCAGAUCACUUUCCUAUCAAGUGUUUUAAAAAACCCUAAGGAUAUAACAUGUCCUUAUAAAAACAGCAGAUACUUUCUUUAGCACCUCUCAUCAGGUUUUCUGCUGCUAAGAGUUUGAUAUUCAAAGAACCCAUUUCAGAAAUGUGCACUUUGUAUAUAUUUCUAGUAAUAAUUUUUUAAAGUUACAAUUUACCUACUACCUUUAGAAUUAUAGAUUAUUUUUACAAAUGCAGGUCUGUGAUCUCUAACUCACAUGAACAAUCUAUAUAUAUAUAUAUAUAUAUAUAUAUAUAUAUAUAUACACCCUGUUCCUAAUUAUUAUGCAAAUUCUAUUUAAGUGUCACAAAGAUUAAAUAUUUUGUUUUUCAGUUUAACUCAUGGAUGGCAUUGUGUCUCAGGGCUCUUUUGAUCACUGAAAACAAUCUCGGACACCUGUGAUAAUUAGAUUGCCAGAUGAGCCCAAUUUAAGGAAAAACUACUAAAGGAAGGUGUUCCACAUUAUUUAGUAGAGCACCAAUUUCAUGCAAUAUGGGGAAGAAAAGGGAUCUCUUCUGCCAAAAAGAGUGAAAUAGUUCAAUGCCUCGGACGAGGUAUGAAAACAUUAGAUAUUUCACGAAAACUUAAGCGUGAUCAUUGCACUAUUAAGAGAUUUGUGGCUGAUUCAGAGCACAGACGGGUUCGUGCAGAUAAAGGCACAUUGAGGAAGAUUUCUGCCAGAUCCAUGCAUCGGAUCAAGAGAGCAGCUGUUAAAAUACCAUUACAUAGCAGCAAACAGAUAUUUGAAGCUGCUGGUGCCUCUGGAGUCCCACGGACAUCAAGGUGCAGAGUCCUUCAGAGUCUUGCAACUGUGCAUAAACCUUCUAUUUGGCCACCACUAACCAAUGCUCACAAGCAGAAAUGGCUGCAUUGAGAAGAAAAAUACAUGAAGACUAAUUUUCAAACAGUCCUGUUCACUGAUGAGUGCCGUGCAACCCUGGAUGGUCCAGAUGGAUGGAGUAGUGGAUGGUUGGUAGACGGCCACCCUGUUCCAACAAGGCUGCGACGUCAGCAAGGCAGUGGUGGAGUCAUGUUUUGGGCCGGAAUCAUGGGAAGAGAGCUGGUCGGCCCCUUUAGGGUCCCCUGAAGGUGUAAAGAUAACCUCUGCAAAGUAUGUGGAGUUUCUGACUGACCACUUUCUUCCCUGGUACAGAAGGAAGAACUAGGCUGUCAGUAAUAAAAUCAUCUUCAUGCAUGACAAUGCACCAUCUCAUGCUGCAAAGAAUACCUCUGCAUCAAUAGCUGCUAUAGGGAUAAAAGGAGAGAAAGUCAUGGUGUGGCCUCCAUCCUCCCCUGACCUCAAUCCUAUUGAGAACCUUUGGAGCAUCCUCAAGCAAAAGAUCUAUGAGGGUGGGAGGCAGUUUACAUCCAAAAAGCAGCUCUGGGAGGCUAUUCUGACAUCUUGCAAACAAAUUCAAGCAGAAACUGUCCCAAAACUCACAAGUUCAAUGGAUGCAAGAAUUGUGAAACUGCUAUCAAAUAAGGGGUCCUAUGUUAAAAUGUAACAUGACCUGUUAAAAUGUUUAAAAAGUUAAAAUGUUGUUAUAAGUUUGAUUGAAAUAGCUUUUGGUUUCAGUAAAUAUUCUGCAAACACAACUGUAGCGGAUGGCACUGGGCUGUCCUGGGAAUUGCAUUGGUUUUAACUGCAUUCGUCUAAUUGACAAGUUAUAUGUGUGUAAAUGUAUUGUAUUCGUCUGAUUGUUCGGUAGAAUCAUUCUAACAAAUAAGGGAAUUAAACUACCGAACAGUCAGACCUCCCCGGUGUGAAGUGUGCCUUCAAUUACCCGUUGCAACAUUGUUGCGAACGGGUAAUUGACAAGCUGUGCAGUAGUCCUUUGUUCUUGGGGGUGGCCGCCAUUCGGGAAAGGAACACGUGGCGGCGGCCAUUUUAAAACUCCCGAACAGCGGUGUUUUGCCGUCGAGUGUCUGGAACUCAAAUCGGACACUCGACUAGGCGAACACCGCUGAGACCUCCACAAGCCCGGUCCGUUCAGUUCCAAACUACCAAACGGCCCCUCGUUUGGUAGACAGAAACAACCAAACGAGGGGAUUCUGGCGAACCCUCCCUAGUCUCUGUAACUGGAGGCUUUCGUGUAAUUUAUUCCCUUGUUCCAGGACCGACCGCAGGGCCCCAUCGCAUGGAACCCAGUUCGGCUAUUCUUUCCAGCGCGGUCGGUCAUUUUAUUCCCUCCAUAAAUUUCCCGAACCCCUGGUCCGAUCUGGGUGAUUUUUGGAUAUGUUGUUCACCCAGAUCAGGGCUACCAAGGGAUGUAUAAUUUAAAGCGGUACCCCUAGAUUUAGGGGUACAUCCAGAAAUGGGGGGAAUUGGUGUCCUGGAUAAGGGGAUUAAGAUGCAGGCUGAGGGGAGGAGAUGUGUGGGAGGUUACCAGAACAGGAUUGGCUACUGUACUAAUGACUGUAAAUCCUUCCCUUGCAUGGGAGCAUGCUUUAUAAGGCCACUGUCUGAAUAAAUCUUUAGUUCUGCUCCUGAUACUGUGUGUCGUCCAGUUAUUGGGAGUGCUGUUGGGAUACUACUGGAUUGUUUUACCUGCUGGAUACCUUGCCUAUGGAUUUAUAAUUGCUUGUUCCUGAUCCUCACUGGGAUCUACAAGUGGAGGUAGGCUAUGAAAUACUAGCUCUCCGCUUCAACAACAAAUGACAAUUUUCAGUUCUUUACAACCUAUAAAGUGUUUUGAAACUUACCGUGCGUAAUAAUUUGGAACAGUGCAUUGUAAGUUUUUUAUGUUUAAAAAAAAUACUUGUAUCAUUAGGAGGUUUGUUCAAUAAAAUUUGAAUUGUACUCUUAAUAGUUGAUAACAUGAGAAUUAUGCUGACUGGUUUUUACAUCAAUUAUUUAGGUCAUGGGUUGUCAACCUGGUAACUAGCGCCCACUAGUGGGCGUUUCAGGAUUCCAGGUGGGCGAUAUGGGUUUCGACGGCACAACGAGCUAAAAUGCUAGCUAAUCCUCCUUUUGUGGGAGUGGGCGGACGGGCGCGAGUGCACACAUGAAAGUGCGUAUGCAAGAGAAUGCAUGCACACAAACAAGCGAAUGCGUGCAUGCGCUCACAAACGUGUAACACGUGAGAAGUGGAAGGGGAGGAGUGGAAGCUGAUGCACGAUAGUAGGGACAGGCAGAAGCGGAGUAGAGCAGUUGUAAAAUAGGAGAAAGAAAAGUUAGGAGAAAGAAAAAGUUAUAGGCAGGACAAGGAGAGAAUUGUUGUUGGCUAAUAAUAACAAGUGGACUAACUAGCUCAGCCUUACUUUUGUACAUUGCCAUAAGGAAGGUAAAAUAAAAGCAUAAACAAAAAAAGAGAUAAAAAGGAAAAGAUCAAAACAAUUUAAAAAAAAGAGAAGAAAAAGAAAAAAGGGGAUAAAAUAAAGGAGGAGAGUACUUGUACAAAAAGGGGAAAGAAGGAGCAGAGUACUUGGAAAAAAUAGGAGAAAGAAGGAGCAGAGUACUUGUAGAAUAGGAGAAAGAAGGAGCAGAGUAUUUGUAAAAAGAAGAAGCAGAGUACUUGGAAAAAGGAGAAAGAAGGAUCAGAGUACUUGUAGAAUAGGAGAAAGAAGGAGCAGGGUACUUGUAAAAAGAAGAAAGAAGGAGCAGAGUACUUGUAAAAAGAAGAGAAAGAAGGAAAAUAAAAAAAGGAAAAGGAGAGAAUUGUUGUUGGCUAAUAAUAGUAAGUGGGCUACUUAGCUCAGCCUUCCUGCUGGACAUUGCUAUAAGGAAGGUAAAUAAAUAGAAAAAAGGAAGGAAAGAAACAAAAGGGGGGAGAGUUGAGGAAGGAGAUGCACAGAUGAGAAAUCAUAUUAUGAGCAAACAGAGAAGUCGUCUGAAUAUCACCGAAAGAGGAGACCUUUGUUUGUUCCUUACGAAAAUCGAACCAGAUAUCAAAUAUUUAGUCUUGCAGCAUCAACCUCAAGGAUCUCAUUAAUCACCAGUAAAGGUAAUUUCAAUUUACUUUAUUGUUUUCUCAUUAAACUUUAUAAUGUUAAAAACCAUUAUAAACAUGCAUAAAGUAGAAAUAAAAAUAUAAAUGUAUGUACAUUUUUUAAAACACCCUCCUUUCUAAAAAAUAUUCUGCACUUGCGCGAAAACUGGUGGGCGGUAAGGAAAUUUUUCAAUCUAGAAAGAUGCAUUAGUGGGCGGUAGGUAGAAAAAGGUUGACUACCCCUGAUUUAGGUAAAUGAGAAAAAUAUAAUUUGCUUAAUAAUUUUGAACAGGGUGUAUAUAUUUUGUUUGUUUGUUUGUUUUUUCUGCAGUUACAUGGUUAAUAUGUUUUUACACUUUACUCACUAUUGGAAGGCUUACAGCCAAUAUCUUUCUUUAUGGUCAUUUUUCAAGUACAUCAUUUGUAUGAUCAUAAAAUGUGAACACUCUCCUGACUACCUGUCUCAACCCAAACCAUUACUAAUCUCCAUCCAUCUUCCUCCUAAUAUCCUGGGGCUAAUGCCUCACUAAUUGCAAUGUGUCACUUCAACUGGCAACAAUUCAUUGUUAUACAAAAUUACACCUCACAAUUUCUUUUUUUUUUUUCUCUCAGUUACAAAGUCAUUGCAACUUUUCCACUGCUUUAAGCAUAUUUAAAAAGCCCUGUAUAAAAUAACUGUCACUUUUAACAGCCAACCUCAUGUAUCUCCUCAUAAUUUAUUAUGGAUCAUGGAAGUUAAUUGUCAAGAGAAAUGCAUUCGGUGAACACAUUUUUAGUUUAUUUAAUUGCUUUAUUUAACAUAUUAACCAAAUAUUAGUUACUUUUCAUGUUUCCUAUUACUUUGUGUGUGUAAGGAUUCCAGUGGAUAUAAAGCAGAAGUUUUAUUUUUCAUAAAGUGCCAGUCUUUUGGCUCAUUGUAGUUUCGAAUAGACACCAUCUCAGUUGAGAAAUCUGCUUACAAAUAGAGUCUGAGAUACUCUUACCUAAGUCCUCAACACUGCUAUUUUCACCUGACAGAUGAAGAUUCUAGAAUGUGCAUCAUUGUUUGUGCUAUUCUGCAUAUGUGCAAGAGUUUAAAAUUGAGUUUAUGGAAGGCCUUGUGAAACUGAGGAAUUUUUUUUAGAGAUCUUCUCCUGUAAGAACAAUGAGAUUCCAUAGAAAAUGCCUUUUCACAUCACAAAUCACAAGAGUCAGCUGAUGGGAAAGCAACAGGCUGUGAAACUACAAAAACAAAUUGAUGGACUCACAUGAGUACUCUACAAACUUUGAAUAUAAAUUGAAAAAAUAUGUGAUCAUUAAGUUGCCCAAAAGGUAGAUGUUUAGAACUGCAAGUUUCAUGAUGCUUUUCCAUUUUUAACACCGAGGAACAUCUAGACAUCUGAGGAUUUACUGUUUGAGCACCCCCUGCAAUGUUUACUAGAGUCAGAGGUUUAUAAUAUUAGAUCUAAAUGCCUAGUAAAGAGGAGUGACCUUUUGAUAAAGCCAUGCAUGGACAAAUAAUUGAAUUGUAACCACAAUCACAAAACCAGCACACUUUGACUGAACACCCCCAAAUUCUUAAAGCGGCACUCUCAUCAUCUGGGAACUUUAUCAGAAUUUGCAAAGACCCCCCUGAUGGUGACAUCACCGCUGGUGGCUGUGGGGUAGGAAAAGGUGAAUUUUACUUGCUGAAUAUUUCCCUUGCGGGCGCUGCCAUCUUCCUCCGGUGGGUCCACCAAAAAAACGACAUCACUGCUGUACUUUAGCAUAUGGGCAAGAGUACACAAUUAAUGUCUAAGGAGCCAUUUCCCUGCAACAGCCACUGGUAACAGCUGUCAGGAUUGACACUGUAGCUCCACCCAGUGUUUAAGAAAGUCAGGUGUAGGAAAAAUACGUAUAGUCCUUACUUUGUCUUAAUGUUUUUAGUUAGAAAUAGAUUAAAAUAAAAUAAAAAGACAGAGAGAGUAGGAAAGAUAAGAGAAAGCAGUUGGGGAAAAGGUAAGUUUGACGUGACAGUGCUGCUUUAAAUGGAUAUUCCAGUUAUAGUAGAUCUGUGCAAUUAAUAUUACUUUUAAUUUAUAUUUUUAACACGGUUCUUCAGAUUUUACACUUCAUUUAGAGGGACAUUAUAUUCAGGAAUCUACCAUUAUCAUUAAUGCAAUAUAUAGAUGAUGCAUUAAAACAUGCAGAAAGACAAAUUAAAAAUAUAUUAAAUAAAAAAAAAAAUUCCAUUCAGGUUUCUGCAUUUGCAGCAAAGCCAUAGAAUUUACAAAUUUUACAUUGAACUAUUCUCAUCUUCUAUUUUCUUAUGUAAAUAAAAAAUAGGACAAAGGAAUUUCAAUUCCAGCUGUAUCUCUUUCAGCCUAGAUCGUGAUACGUUGCAAUUAGGCGAUCUCCAGGACGAAAGCUUUAUUGUUAUUGAGAAGUGUUUGAUUUUAUCGUGGAACAUGUCAUAAAGCUGGCCCACUAAUAGAGGUGUAAGGUAUAAACACAGAUUUAAUAAGGAAUUGUAACAAGAGUGGAUGUGAGGCUUGUAAUAGCCAAAAGGGUUUUUAUAAAAAGUUUUAUUAGACACUGACAUCCUACUAGUGUUAAUUGUAAUAAAUAACCCAGAUGAGCUCAUAAGGCCACAGAUCUAUACCUUGCCAGUGGGAAGCAUAAUGCGUAAUUUCAAUCGUGAUAUCAUUCAAGAAAUUAUACACUGAUAAGGAGAGCCUUCUUACUGAACCCCAGGAUAUGUGCAGAAAUGAAGUGCAAAAAAAAUGAUCAUUUAUUUCUAGCUUUACCAGUGAUUUCUAAAUGAAAUAGCACGUCUCAUGGGGGACCCCCCUCUUUCUUACACAGGACCACUUUUUUCCCCACCAAAGUGCUCUGAACCUGGCCUAUACACCCAGUGGUGCUAACUCAUGGAAAGCCGAGCUGGAGGAAGACCCAAGGACCAGAGCUGAUUGUCUGGACCCGCACCAAAUCAGAAAUCAGUCUCAGCCUGGUAAACUUUUAACCUGGUGGCAAUUAAACAUGCUAGCUGGCAGUACGAGGUGUAUGGGGCCACCUUGGUUUUAGGGUUAUCCUUUUUGGGUAAGGAGUUUUGGGUCUCGGAUCUAUUGGCACCCAGUUUGGAGACAACUCAGUAGAGGAUUGACUCUGAGCAGCCCAGACAGAGUGGCACUGUGAUGAUCAGUGUCUUUUGUUAUACGGAUCUGCUCUUUGAGUGGGCAGCAAUAAACUAUCUAUAAUCUCUCCAGGUAACAAGAAAAUAAGGGAGAUACUCAGGCUAAGUACCAAGCUCCACUAAAGUAAGUUGUUAAUGGAUAUAAUUAUACAGAAACAGUAUUUUUUAGAUGAUUUAUUUUCUCUCAGACGUUGCCUUUAUAAUAUGUUCACACUGGUUCAACUGUGCACAAAAAGGGUCUCAUAAACCUUCACAGGCUUGUGUAAAUGAGUCCUCCCAAGAUGGCUGCCACAUGAGCAGAUGCAGUUUAGGUUAAAGAGCUGCCGUUUUAUGUAGAAACCUCAAAAGUAGUGUUUACAAGAUAAGCAACGACUCUCAAAGAUCUGUGGUCAUCUCCAGUGGGAACCGGUAAAACCCCCACUCGGUGCAUUGAGGCAAUGCAGGAACUGAGGAUUAGCAAUCUCAUGGAUCACUCAGAAAUUCGAUGGUCCCUAUACACCUGAUGAUUGGUUUGGUAGGCUGAACUCUUUGAUUUCUAAGGCAAGUUGGCCUAUCCAUUUGAGAGAAUCCUAUUGGGGUAUCAUUAUUACAACAGAACUUCCACUCCGUGUAUAGGCACCCUGUGACUGUAUGUUCAAAUCCUUACUUACAUUUUGUUACCUUGAAUUUCUCACUUGAAAGAAUAGUGGGUGGCUUUAGUGUCAGAGCAGGGUUUUUUAAAGGGGUGUAAAUACAAAAAGAUAAGUCCUGCGGUCACUCCAAUCACUCCUGGAAGGCAGCAACGACCACAGUACACAUCAGCCCCAAUAUAUAGUAAAAACCAAAGAAAAAAAGGAGUUACCUGCACUCUCUCCUUAAUCCCUAUGUUUAUUUAGACAAAUGGAGGUCAUUUAGUUACUCCAAUGGCCAUUGGUGGGAAUGCCCGCCUGCCAACAUCAAGGCAGACCCCCCCUAUACUUGCUGGUAGAUUGUGUUUUUUUAUUUUUCUUUAGUAUUUUUCUCUCUAGUUAAAUUACAAAAUUAUGGGGUUAUCCCCCGUUUUCUCUUUGAUGCAACCAUUGUGUCUCUUCUUUACCCUAUAGGCGUUACUCUCUCUCUCUAAUUAACUAUAUAUAUACACAUAUAUAUAUAUAUAUACAGUAUCUCACAAAAGUGAGCACACCCCUCACAUUUUUGUAAAUAUUUUAUCUUUUCAUGUGACAACACUGAAGAAAUUACACUCUGCUAUAAUGUAAAGUAGUAAGUGUAUAGCCUGUAUAACAGUGUAAAUUUUCUGUCCCCUCAAAAUAACUCAAUACACAGCCAUUAAUGUCUAAAGUGUUGGCAACAAAAGUGAGUACACCCCUAAGUGGAAAUGUCCAAAUUAAGGCCCAAAGUGUCAAUAUUUUGUGUGGCUACCAUUAUUUUCCAGCACUGCCUUAACCCUCAUGGGCAUGGAGUUCACCAGAGCUUCACAGGUUGCCAGUGGAGUCCUCUUCCACUCCUCCAUGGCGACAUCAAGGAGCUGGAGGAUCUUAGAAACCUUGCGCACCCCCACCUUCCGUUUGAGGAUACCCCACAGAGGCUAAAUAGGGUUUAGGUCUGGAGAGAUGCUUGGCCAGUCCAUCACCUUUACCUUCAGCUUCUUUCGCAAGGCAGUGGUCGGCUUGGAGGUGUGUUUGGGGUCAUUAUCAUGUUGGAAUACUGCCCUGCAGCCAAGUCUCCGAAGGGAGGGGAUCAUGCUCUGCUUCAAUAUGUCACAGUACAUGAUGGCAUUCAUGGUUCCCUCAAUGAACUGUAGCUCCCCAUGGCGGCAGCACUCAUGCAUGCCCAGACCAUGAAACUCCCACAGCACUCCAUGCUGACCAAUUAAUGCAGUGUGUGGCAUAUGGUCUGAGCACAGACAGGCUGACCCCCCAUCCCUUCAACCUCUGCAGCAAUUCUGGCAGCACUCAUAUGUCUAUGUCCCAAAGACAACCUCUGUAUAUGACGCUGAACACGUGCACUCAACUUCUUUGGUUGACAAUGGCAAGGCCUGUUCUAAGUGGAACCUGUCCUGUGAAACCACUAUAUGGUCUUGUCCACCAUGCUGCAGCUCAGUUUCAGGGUCCUGGCAAUCUUCUUAUAGCCAGGCCAUCUUUUUGCAGGGUCCUGGCAAUCUUCUAAUAGCCUAGGCCAUGUUUUUGUAAAGCAACAUUUAUUUUUUUCACAUUCUCAGAGAGUUCUUUGCCAUAAGGUGCCAUGUUGAACUUCCAGUGACCAGUAUGAGAGAGUGUGAGAGCGAUAACACCAAAUUUAACACUCCUGCUCCCCAUUCACACAUGUAGCACUAGCAAGUCACAUGAUACCGGGGAGGAAAAAUGGCUAAUUGGGGGUACUCACUUUUUUUUGCCAACGGUUUAGACAUUAAUGGCUGUGUGUUGAGUUAUUUUGAAGGGACAGCAAAUUUACACUGUUAUACAGGCUGUACACUUACUACUUUACAUUGUAGCAGAGUGUCAUUUCUUUAGUGUUGUCACAUGAAAAGAAAUAAUAAAAUAUUUACAAAAAUGUAAGGGGUGUACUCACUUUUGUGAGGUACUGUAUAUAGGUACAGGUUGUUCACGACUUUACAAACUAAUUGGUUAUUGUUGUAUAAUUAUAGAAUUCUUGAAAUUAUCUAAGCUAAUACUUUGGCAGGAAGAAAUGUGCGUCAGCAGAACAAUGAGUUUCUGUUGAAUGAAAUAUUGUAGCAACUGAGCCACAUGUUGGUCUUAAUAAAGUACGUGUCAGCUGAAUAAUAAAAUGUGUAUUUACUAAAAGAACCUUGAAACUAACAAUACCAACUACUCAAAAUGGCUGCCAAAGCACCCCUCCCAUCGAGUGAACACCUCGUGCUUGUGUCCACUCCCGUGUCAAGGAUGACACCACCUCUUGAUGGGAGGGCAUCUAACUAACCACUUAACACCUGAACCAAUUAAUAAUGUUUAUUUGUUGUUAUCUUGAAUUCUUCAGUGAUGUAAAAAUGCCUUUAUAAGGGUCUGCGCACCCAUUUUCUGUUAGAAGCCAUUAAACUUUUCCGAAGUUCUUUCAUUAACCUGAACCCUGUGUCUCAGUGUGAAUUUACUUCUGCGUGCACGCAACUUUAUUAUCUUUAAUUUGGACAGGAACAGAUAGUCAUUCAAACUUAUUGGUUUGCAGAAAAUAAUCUACUACAAUUUGGUGCCUUCAACGUGGGGCUCUGGGUUAUGUCCUGCCCGGACAGCCGUCCAAGAAGACGCUGUGGGGAUGAAUCCUGGGGGAAGGAAAAGAGCCUGAUCACCUCUGAGUACACGGUGGAGACUGCUGCAGCACCUAGCCGGUAUGUUCCUGCCCCUGUGAUUGACCUGUCCCAGUGUCUGUGACUGCUGCCGAGAGGACAUCAAAGUCAGGUAAUAACUUGCCCAGAGUCUUUGUAUUCUUAAUGAUACCUAGUUUACCUGCAUGUUGACUAUCUGUUGCCUGGGAGUGUUUGUAUUGGUUUGUGUUUAGCUUAGUCCCCGGGGAGUGUGAGUGCCUGUUUACCCCUUUUAGGUGCUAGGUGGCUCUAGCGGUAAAGGAAAAAGGGGAGGGGACCUGGUGGAAGUCUGUGUGGACUCACUACUUUCUUAGGUCUGGGGUGUCACUUUGAGGGCCUGGCUAGCCUCAUUGUGCACGUUACUCUGCUUGCAGAGGGUGAGACACUUCAGCCUCGAGCGCUGACGCUGGUAGUGUUCUGUUAACCUCUCAGUGCCCGCGGAUACGGACACUGUUAGGUUGUGGUGGGAUUGGAUUCGGGCAGGCAUUGCUGUUUCCAUCACCAUGCGGUAGUGAGACUUGCGGGUGGGUCCGCAACAGGGACACUACGAGGUUGAGGGAGGUAGCUGCGGCCACACGAGUAAAGGAAAGGGAUUACUGUGAUUUUAUUUGAACUGUGAUGCAUGCACUGUAUUUUAUUUUGUCUUAAUUGUCUGUCACACAGAUUCCUGUGCUUAAUCCUAUCUUACUCUCUGUGUUAUUUACACUUUCCCCUCUUAUUUCUCUUUGUUGAGAGAAGUGAUUGGUCACACACUUCUCGCCACGCUCCAAUCCGCGGCUACCUCGGGUAGGCGGAAUUAGUGACUAGUCUACGUUUUGGGAAGACGUACGUAGGAACCCACUCUUACGUAGCAGUCGAGCACUGUAGACCUUCUUUUUCUCUCUUUCUCUAUAUCUGGGACGCCUUAUAUAGGGAGGAUGGGACAGAAGUUAGAUAAACCCAGUAAGGGUUGGUUAGCAUGUGAUUUAGUAGAAGACAGAGAAGGAGAAGAGGUGGUUAAGAAAGUGAGGAAGAUUGCUAAAGUAUGUGGAAUUACCGUACCUCCGUGCGGCAGAUUGCAGCCAGAGAGCUGGCGUAAGUUACUGACAGAGAAGAAAGGGAAGCUGUCGGACCACGAUUUGGUUCGUACAGCAGAAGCCUGGUACCGAGUAGCAAGAGCUAUUCAGCAAGAGGGAUGGGUUGAGGAAGAAAUUGAUCAUAAAGGUUUAAGAUUGUUUGUGUAUUAUAAUAAUUGUGUUACUGGGAAGUUCUCCCAGCCAGCGCCCUAUGAUGGCGCCCAGGAGGUGACCACUCCCAACAUCGCGUCAGCAAUGACCGAAAUGCAGCUGACCAUGGUCCCCACCCCUGGUCCCCACCCUACCACCGCCCCUGUUUACCCAGUCCUGAAUGCUGAUGGAUCCUUAUUCUCCCCCCCAUCAGUCCUACAGAUCUCGUCACCCUCAUCCUCUCUCACACCACCCUCCCUCUCCAGUCCGUUUCUCCCGUCUGCUCUUCCUCCCUUCCGCCCCUCCCCUACCUGCCCACCUUCUCCUACUCCUCCUACUAAUCCCUCCCCUCCGUCUGUCCCCCCCCACUGCUCCGUCUUCUUUCCCUCCCUCAUCUCCUGCCCUUCCUACUCCACCUUCUCCUCCUCCUACCCCUCCCGUCCCUCCUACUCCACCUUCUCCUCCUCCCACUCCACCUGCUACUCAUUCUUCCAUUUCCCCACCACCAUACCUAUAUCCUUUAUAUCCUCCCUCCCUUCCUAAUCCAUACCCAUCUCCUCCGCCCUACCCGUGCUCCGCCCUAGCACCUGCCCAAAUGACCUGGCCAUUCCCCUACCCUUAUCCUGCAACUCCGCCCUAUUCCGCCACUUCCUACGUACCUUCCAUAGCCACACCCCCGUCCCCGAUCACGCCUACCCUGCCUCAACCUGCUCAAGUUGUGCCCAUAUCCAACAUGGCCGCCACUUCCUCCCUUAACCCCAACGCCACUUCCUCCCUUAACCCCAACGCCACUUCCUCCCUUAACCCCAACGCCACUUCCUUCCACGCCUCCAAUAUGGCAGCCCCCAGUGGUGCGGCACCUCUAAUGCUAGUCCUUCCAAAUGAUUUGUUACCACCAGCGAAUACCACACCAUUAGCUCCGGCAGGUGGAGUGCCCAUUCUACCCCCGGCCCUGACACCUCAGGUAGCUACAAAUCCUACAGGGGUCCGAGUGUCACCAUCCCAGAAUGAAUUUGAUUCAGUCAGCUCUCAUGGUUAUCAAAUCCCACCGGACUCCAGAAACACAUCGCCCGGCCUGCCCCGGUGCUCUAUCAAUGACCCUUUUGGUCGCCGGAUUCAGGGAGAGAAGGCCCCUGUAAUGUAUGUCUCCUUCAAUCCCACUCAGGCCUCUGCUCUAAUGAAAUCACUCCCUGACCCCGAAAAACAGCCCAUGCCCUUCUAUGGAGGGGUAGUUCAAAUUCAACAGACCUAUUCCGCCGCAUGGCGUGAUUUGUUAAGCAUCUGUGCCAUAAAGGCUGGAGAUGCUUAUUGGCCUAGCAUUGCCCGCCACCUCUGCAACAACUGGCUCACUAGUGAUACUGACUAUGCAUCGGGGAUUGAAUUCUGUGCCCAGCUGAAGUACUGGGCUAAGGAUAAGCUCGCAGACUUAGCAGCUGGCCUCAACGAUGUGGUUCAGGAAAAAGGUGAAUCUGUGGAGAGGUUCCAUGCUAGACUUUUCCAAGUAUUCUCAGACCUGGGAUUUGAUCUCAGCAACAAAAUUCACUCCCAGAUGCUUUCUGGUGCCUUUGUCCUAGGCAUCAAAGACUCUAUACGCAAGGGUAUUAUUGCUGCUCGCCCUGAAUAUCGGAUGGUUCCCCUGGAUAAGUUACUCUUAGUUGCCAGAGGACUAGAAUCAGCACAGAAUCCUAGAAAGUUCAAUUCAACUCCUAUUAUGGUGUCACGCCCAGUCCCAAGAGGCACCAGGCCCACUGAUGGAAUCUGUUUUAAUUGUGGGGAAAAGGGCCAUUUCAGGAGUGAUUGCCCCGAGCCCCGGAGAUACCGAAAAUCAUAUACAGACCAGGAGGUGCCUAAACCCACACCAAUAACAAAGGCUCCAAAACCUCCCUUGCCCGAUUCAGUCCAAGAAGAUUAGGAAAUUGGCAAGCCUGUGUCAUUAACCCCUGUCAUGGCAGUAUCUUCAGGGGAACAAGGGGGGCCACUAGCCACUGUAACUUUACCUAUUGAAGGUCACCCUACCAUAUUCCUUGUUGACACAGGUGCAGCCCGAAGUGUUCUGAGAGAACAAGACCUGCCUGAUUCUUCAUUCCUUUCCAAUAUUGACGUCUCCUGUGUAGGUGUAGAUGGCCUCCCGAGACAUAGUCCUUUAACUACUCCUUUGCGGGUUGGCAACUGUCCCAAUCUGCUUGCCCGAUUUGUGGUGUCUUCAACAUGUCCUAUUAACCUAUUAGGUGCUGAUGUCUUUUCCCGCCUACAGGCAUCUAUCACCUUCACACCGGACGGCCAGGUGGAACUAUCUACUCCCCUGUCCGAAUCAGACACCUCAGCCUUGUGUUCCCUGCCUUUGAUGCUUCAUCUAGAAAAACCCCAUGGGAAUGCAAAGGCCCUGAGGGACAACUUUCCAGAAAUUCUAAUGACAAGUGUCCCCAAGAAACUGUGGUCUUCAGGCCCAGAGGACAUAGGUCAUCUAAAGGUCCCACCUGUGAUGGUAAAGCUAAUUCCAGGAGCAAAAUUACCGAGAAAGUCUCAAUAUCCGCUGAAACCAGCACAAGCUGUGGCCAUCAUGGAACAAGUACAAGCACUACUGGCUAAAGGUGCUCUUGUCAAGUGCGAAUCACCAUGCAACACCCCAUUGUUCCCUGUGAAGAAGAGGACACCUAAGGGUGAACCUGACAAGUACAGGAUGAUCCAGGAUCUUCGGGCUGUCAAUGAGGCCACAGUUUUGGACACCCCAAUUGUGCCUAACCCACACACCCUUCUCUCUGGUGUUCCACCUUCUGCCACAUACUUCACAGUUAUUGAUCUGGCCAAUGCCUUUUUCAGUGUCCCUCUGGACCCCACCUGUCAGUACCUGUUUGCCUUCACGCGAGAAACAACAAUACACGUGGACUGUUAUGCCCCAGGGAGCACAAAAUUCACCAAGUCAGUUUGCAAAGGCAAUGUCUUCCAUCCUUGAUCCAUGGCAAUCUGACCACCCCAAGGUUGUCCUGCUCCAAUAUGUUGAUGACCUGCUCCUUUGUGGAGAUGACAUCCCCACGACAGAAAAAUGUUCUCUGGACCUCCUUUGUUAUCUUGCAGAUCAGGGGUGUAAGGCAUCUCUUGUCAAACUUCAAUUUUGCCAGGCCACAGUAAUCUUUCUAGGCCAUUGCCUGUCCCAUGACACUAGACACCUCACCCAUGAUCGUGUCGGAGCGGUUUUGGCCAUUCCGCCUCCAAAAACUCCAAAAUCCCUCCACGCCUUUCUAGGCCUCAUUUCUUACUGCCGAGCGUGGAUCCCAGAGGCCUCUCUACUCAUGCAACCUUUGUACGAUGCUCUUAAAUCAGACCCGUUCUGUCUGUCCUCAGAAGCACAUGACAACUUCUACACUCUCCAACGUGCUAUUGCCUCUACUCCCGCCCUUGGCUUGCCAAACUACACCAAACCAUUCAAAUUAUUUGUGUCUGAAAGAUAAGGACAGAUGACUCCUUACUCAAGCCCAUGGACCUGGCGGCCGCCAAAGGCCUUUUGGCUUCUUCUCUUGCCAACUAGACAUUGUGGCUAGAGGAACCCCCUCUUGCCUCCGAGCUGUUUUUGCCGCUCAGGAACUCAUAAACCGCACUGGGGACCUGGUUCUUGGCCACCCUCUGACUGUUUUGGCACCUCAUGAUAUUUCUGCCAUACUUAACCAGGUCCAACUCAAACAUGUCACCCCUGCCAGGCACCUUCGUCUCCAAUGUCAUCUCCUGUUACCUGACAAUGUUACCCUUCAAAGAUGUCAGGUUCUGAAUCCGUCCACUCUUCUGCCACUCCCUGAGGGGGGUAGCUACUAUGGAUUUAUCAUGGAUGAAGGCUAUGCCCUUCUGUGAUGGGCCAGAAUAUGCCUUCUGCACCAUGUGGUACAAGCCAACCAUCAACCGUGACCCUCAUUAUGAAGAUGAACUUUAUCAAUUAGUUGAGGUAAAACUCAUUCUACAAGAUUUUUACUGCGAUACUGAAGGCAACAGUAUGAUUUUGGUUCAACUACCACUUGGACUUGAACAUCUAUAUCACCAUUGGGACACAGCCAUUCCACAUGUCCCUGUUACCAAAUCAAAGAUAAAGUCAUGGGGUGAUCUCGGGCCCAUGGCAAAACUAUGGGCCACCAUGGAUGAACUACAGCUCCAAGAAAAAGUACCCAACAACUGAACAUGUAAAAGCAUGGCCACGGUACUUUCUGGAAGAAGAAUUUGAAGAUCUGGUCAUAAAGCACGACUAUGAUCCAGAAACGCCCCAUAACUGUUUUGAACAGAUGAAAAUGGAAACAACACAUUUGCCAACCGUGUAUGAGGAUCCACUAAUAGAUCCUGACCUCAUCCUGUUUGUGGACGGCUCAAGGUAUGCUGAUGAAGAAGGAAAAUAUCACACAGGAUAUGCCGUCACCACAACAGAUGAAAUUAUCAAGUCAUCAUCUCUACCAUCAACAAUGUCUGCGCAGGAAGCUGAAUUACAAGCCCUAAAUUCAGCAUGCAAGAUAUCUGAAGGAAAGCGCGCCAAUAUCUACACAGAUUCAAGAUACGCACUGGGCGUGGCUCAUGACUUCGGAUUAAUUUGGAAAACAAGAGGAUUUCUUACCACUGCCGGUACACCAGUCAAGCACAGUUCUGCAAUCAAGGAGCUGAUGGAUGCCUUCCUACUCCCAGAAGAAGUGGCCAUUCUGAAGGUAAAGGCACAUGGGAAGUUGGAUUCGGAUGAAGCAAGGGGCAACCAUCUGGCUGAUCAAGCUGCAAAACAAGCUGCAAGAGAACUACAGGAAGUGGACAGAAGUGUGUCCGGAAAUGAAGAAACUCCCACAUUUACCUUGCAGACACUUCCAACUGAUCUAAAAAUCCUACGGGAACAACAGGCUGCAGUUGCUCCUGAAGAAAUACAAAGAUGGAAACAGAAAGGGGCAGUUCUGAAGGAUGGAGUGUACUCCAACAACCUCAAGUUCUGCCUCCCUAAGAAUUUGUACCCAGCAGUCGUACAAUGGGCACACGGACCUGCACAUUUAUCAAAGGAUCUAAUGAAUGCUCUUGUACAAAAAUACUACGAAGCACCCGGAAUUACUACACUAACCAGUAACUACUGCAAGGCCUGUGUAAUUUGUGCUAAAUGCAAUCCAGGAAAAACAAUCAAAGUUCCUCCAAAACAUCUGGUUAAACCCAUGUAUCCAUUUCAAAGGAUUCAAAUCGACCACAUCCAGAUGCCAAAGAGUGGUCACCAUGAAUAUGCACUAGUGAUAGUGGACAUGUUCUCAGGCUGGCCAGAAGCCUAUCCAGUAGUCAACAUUACCGCCAAGACAACAGCAAAACGUCUACUCACAGUAAUUGUAUGUAGAUUUGGACUCCCAGAAGUUAUUGAAAGCGACCAGGGCCCAGCUUUCACAGCAUCAGUAACUAAAGAGAUUUGGACUGCCCUAGGAGUGACCCUUGCCUUCCACACGCCUUAUCACCCACAAAGCAGUGGCAAAGUGGAACGUAUGAAUAGUACCCUAAAAGCUAGAAUGUUAAAAAUGUCACAAGAAACAAAGAUGCCCUGGCCAGAAAGCUUGUCAAUAGCUCUAUUCAGUGUCAGACACACACCCAGAGGAAAACCCUCACUGUCCCCAUAUGAGAUUCUAUUUGGGACUGCACCUAGGCUAGGUUGCUAUUUUCCCCAACAACUACAACUUCAAACUGAUGUUUUAGUAGAUUAUGUAACUGAACUUGCAAAUGCUUUAAGCAAAAUCCAUGCCCAAGUUUUCUCUUCAAUUCCAGAUCCUGAUUCUGAUACGGGCAACCACAGUCUGCUCCCUGGUGAUUGGGUCCUAGUCAAGAAAUUUGUGCGGAAACACACCCUGGAACCAAGAUUUGACGGACCAUUCCAAGUUCUACUGAUCACCUCCACCUCCGUCAAGUUGGCUGGGAAAAGCAACUGGAUCCACGCCUCCCAUUGCAAAAAGGUUCCUGUCCCAGAGGAAGCAGACUCCUCACAACUAUGUACCUCUGGUACAUCAUCCCUUUGAUUAGUUUCCUUGAGGCCCAACAAGUGGCCAUUACCAAAGAUGCUAGUGGGUACACAUUCUGGUAUAAUUUGUCAUGCACCCGCGUAGCUACAUUCACCUUUGAUUACUGUGACAUAGUAGAUUGCCCAUUUCCCAAGUCACAGAUUCAAACCAUUUACAAAGAUAUACCACACGCAAAGGACCCCUAUGUUUGUGUAGUUGACAAGCAAUGGGGACACAACUGUGACAAUUGGGGGGCUGCAGGAUGGAAUACUGGGCCUGCCUGGGGUUACAAACCCAAAAGUGCCUUAUCUAAAGUAGAUGACCAUGGUAGAUCCCUCCUUCAAAGAAUGACUUUAAGAAAGCCUGGAGGAGGUCUGCCCAUGAAAUUAAUGUUAAACAUUGAGCACCCUGGUCCAAAGGAUGCUGACCAAUAUGUAAUGGGAAUGUAUUGGAAAAGUGGUUCCUGUAACAAAUUAGGUCAUUUCUAUCUUAAAGAUAUGUGCCACUCUCCAGAGUGGCAAGGGGCUGUUCAUAUGGUCCCGAAUCCACUGAAACCACAUAUCCAGUCUUUUAAGGACAUGAUGGCCAUUGCUAACCCCACCUUUGAAGACACCAUGGCCACUGAAACUGGUUACAAUGAUAUCAAUCUAUGGUUAGAGUGGAUGAAAUAUAAUGCUAAUAAACAUAACAAAACCGCAUGCUAUGUGUGCGGUGGUGCUCGACCUCAUCUUGGCACCGUUCCUCUAACUCUCCCUUUGGAGAUAGAGAAUUGCUUCCUCAGUCUUUUUGCCUACCGCUAUAAUUUCAACAGAUCCCUCUGCGAAGCAUGAACUGAGAGUACCCCCUCUUAAUUGGAAAUGUCAAACCCCCAGAUGGAAUCACGAUUUACAAGGGUAAUUACACUUGCUAUGCUAACUAUGACGGGAUUGGUAAAUUCAUGGGUAACUUUUCCAAUGGCUAUUGUGCCACCUACAGAACUGUUCCUAUACGCCUGUUGCAACACCAUACCAGGUCAUUGGGGGAUAUUUACUGGUUAUGUGGGGAUCUACAGUUAAGAUCUAGGCUGGAAACUGAGUGGUGGGGUGAGUGUACCCUGGCCAAAGUUAUCAUGCCCAUUCAUAUUAUUUCUGAUAAUCAUCAUGACACAUACGACCCUCCACAUACACCAGCCAGAGUGAAGCGCAAAACCCCAGUAAAAGGCAGUUUUGACCCCCACAUUUACAUAGAUGCCGUUGGGGUACCUAGGGGGGUGCCUAAUGAAUUUAAAGCUAGAGAUGAAGUCGCUGUAGGUUUUGAAUCACUUUUUACCAUAGUCACUGCCAACAAAAACCUUAAUUGGAUUAACUACAUUUACUACAACCAACAGCGUUUCAUCAACUACACCAGGGAUGCCCUCCAGGGCCUGGCCGAGCAGUUGCAGGCCACAUACCAGAUGACCUGCCAGAACAGAAUGUGGAAUGGAUUCUAGCUGAAAAGGGGGGUGUAUGUAAAAUACUACCUGACAACAUGACUUGUUGCACUUAUAUCCCAGAAAACACAGGUCCAAAUGGUAAAGUCACUAUGGCCAUAGCGAAGUUAGAGAAACUCUCAGAAGAGUUGAAGAGGAAUUCUGGGGUAACAGAUCCCUGGGAAAGGUGGUUUGGUUGGAUGUCAGGUUGGCAGAAAGCUUUAGUCCAUAUUGGUAUGGCUCUACUAAUUUUCCUUUUUGUUCUCGCUCUUCUCGUUUGUUGUGUCCUCCCAUGCCUUAGAAAAUUCUUACAGAAGACUACAGACCAAGCGAC